rfam:Aedes albopictus isolate Foshan contig108642, whole genome shotgun sequence.
CAAACGGUUCUUUUCAGAACCAUCGAAAAU